rnacentral:hammerhead_ribozyme from 1 species
ACAUUGCUGAGGAGUCCCAUGAUAGGACGAAACAGCUGUUCAGUGU